UGGGGAAUUUUCCGCAAUGGGCGCAAGCCUGACGGAGCAAUACCGCGUGAGGGAGGAAGGCUCUUGGGUCGUAAACCUCUUUUCUCAGGGAAGAACACAAUGACGGUACCUGAGGAAUAAGCAUCGGCUAACUCCGUGCCAGCAGCCGCGGUAAUACGGAGGAUGCAAGCGUUAUCCGGAAUGAUUGGGCGUAAAGCGUCCGUAGGUGGUUUUGUAAGUCUGUGGUUAAAGCGUGGAGCUCAACUCCAUAAGGGCCAUGGAAACUACAAGACUAGAGUGAAGUAGGGGUAGAGGGAAUUCCCAGUGUAGCGGUGAAAUGCGUAGAGAUUGGGAAGAACACCGGUGGCGAAAGCGCUCUACUGGACUUAUACUGACACUGAGGGACGAAAGCUAGGGGAGCGAAAGGGAUUAGAUACCCCUGUAAUC
rnacentral:rRNA from 1 species